AUUGAACGCUGGCGGCAUGCCUAACACAUGCAAGUCGAACGGGGCGCUUCGGCGCCUAGUGGCGGACGGGUGAGUAAAGCGUAGGAAUCUGCCUUGUAGUGGGGGACAACCUGGGGAAACUCAGGCUAAUACCGCAUACGCUCGCGAGAGGAAAGCGGGGGAUCUUCGGACCUCGCGCCGCAAGAAGAGCCUACGUCCGAUUAGCUAGUUGGUAGGGUAAAAGCCUACCAAGGCGACGAUCGGUAGCUGGUCUGAGAGGAUGAUCAGCCACACUGGGACUGAGACACGGCCCAGACUCCUACGGGAGGCAGCAGUGGGGAAUAUUGGACAAUGGGCGCAAGCCUGAUCCAGCAAUGCCGCGUGGGUGAAGAAGGCCUGCGGGUUGUAAAGCCCUUUAAGUGGGGAGGAACGGCGGGAUGCGAACAGUGUUCUGCUCUGACGUUACCCACAGAAUAAGCACCGGCUAAACUCCGUGCCAGCAGCCGCGGUAAU
rnacentral:rRNA from 1 species